rnacentral:rRNA from 1 species
GACGAACGCUGGCGGCGUGCUUAACACAUGCAAGUCGAACGCUGAAGCUCAGCUUUUGUUGGGUGGAUGAGUGGCGAACGGGUGAGUAACACGUGAGUAACCUGCCUCCUUCUUUGGGAUAACGCCCGGAAACGGGUGCUAAUACUGGAUAUUCACUGGUCUUCGCAUGGGGGUUGGUGGAAAGGGUUUUUCUGGUGGGGGAUGGGCUCGCGGCCUAUCAGCUUGUUGGUGGGGUGAUGGCCUACCAAGGCUUUGACGGGUAGCCGGCCUGAGAGGGUGACCGGUCACAUUGGGACUGAGAUACGGCCCAGACUCCUACGGGGGGCAGCAGUGGGGAAUAUUGCGCAAUGGGCGCAAGCCUGAUGCAGCGACGCCGCGUGAGGGAUGGAGGCCUUCGGGUUGUGAACCUCUUUCGCUCAUGGUCAAGCCGCAACAAUGGUUGUGGUGAGGGUAGUGGGUAAAGAAGCGCCGGCUAACUACGUG